rnacentral:rRNA from 1 species
GAUGAACGCUAGCUACAGGCUUAACACAUGCAAGUCGAGGGGAAACGACAUCGAAAGCUUGCUUUUGAUGGGCGUCGACCGGCGCACGGGUGAGUAACGCGUAUCCAACCUGCCCACCACUUGGGGAUAACCUUGCGAAAGUAAGACUAAUACCCAAUGACGUCUCUAGAAGACAUCUGAAAGAGAUUAAAGAUUUAUCGGUGAUGGAUGGGGAUGCGUCUGAUUAGCUUGUUGGCGGGGUAACGGCCCACCAAGGCGACGAUCAGUAGGGGUUCUGAGAGGAAGGUCCCCCACAUUGGAACUGAGACACGGUCCAAACUCCUACGGGAGGCAGCAGUGAGGAAUAUUGGUCAAUGGGCGAGAGCCUGAACCAGCCAAGUAGCGUGCAGGAUGACGGCCCUAUGGGUUGUAAACUGCUUUUAUAAGGG